rnacentral:rRNA from 1 species
GUACACACCGCCCGUCACACCACGAAAGCGGGGAGGGCCUGAAGUCGCUGUCGUAACCCUUCGGGGAGCAAAGCGCCGAAGGUCAGCUCCGUGAUUGGGACUAAGUCGUAACAAGGUAACCGUAGGUGAACCUGCAGAAGGAUCA